rnacentral:rRNA from 1 species
GAUGAACGCUGGCGGCGUGCUUAACACAUGCCAGUCGAACGGAAAGGCUCCUGCUUGCAGGGGUACUCGAGUGGCGAACGGGUGAGUAACACGUGGGUGAUCUGCCCUGCACUUCGGGAUAAGCCUGGGAAACUGGGUCUAAUACCGGAUAGGACCACAUUUUGGAUGGUGUGGUGGAAAGUUUUUCGGUGUGGGAUGAGCUCGCGGCCUAUCGGCUUGUUGGUGGGGUAAUGGCCUACCAAGGCGUCGACGGGUAGCCGGCCUGAGAGGGUGUACGGCCACAUUGGGACUGAGAUACGGCCCAGACUCCUACGGGAGGCAGCAGUGGGGAAUAUUGCACAAUGGGCGCAAGCCUGAUGCAGCGACGCCGCGUGGGGGAUGACGGCCUUCGGGUUGUAAACUCCUUUCGCUAGGGACGAAGCGCAAGUGACGGUACCUUGAGAAGAAGCACCGGCUAACUACGUG